GUUUUUUGUGUAUCAUGAGGCUUCUCAGCGGGAGAUCCCGAUGUUUAAUUGGAUAUGAGAAGUGUGUGUGCGCUGAAUUGUGCCUUAGUACAUUGCUGGAUGCCUGCAUGUGACUGUACACAUAUGCAGCUGCUUUCCCUGCAGUGUGGUGGAGUGGAACUGUUAUAAAGAUACAGCCUAUUACAGAUCAUACAUCCUGAUACACCUGACCCAGUACUAAUCCUGUGGAUCAAUAUCCAGCCCUCUUGCAUCUUCUCAGGUGCUUCCUCUCUGCUCCAACGUUUGUCAGGGCUAAGACCCAGGUGCAGGGGUGUCGUGGCCUGAGUCUGUGUUGCAGUAUGUCUUGGUUUCAACCAGGAAUGGUUCUUGAUGGCUGAUUUGUAUCCUCUUAAUGAUAUCCUAUGAUAUGAUAUGAAACCCUCUAUUUUGCACACAGGUUCCAUUUGCAACAAUAACAUUUAUGUGGCGGCAAAAUUAAGUUGCCAUUGCACAUGUCAUGCUAUCUCUACAGAGAAGGGGUAUCUUGUGGCCUGUCAGUGGGUUUUUAGUGUGCUGCAAUGAUAAGUGCUUGUUUUCUUUUACUUCCUGUUGGGGCCCUUUUAUCUGUUACCAUGUUUACUUGUGUUUCAGAUGAUAGAUGGCCACAGCAGUGACAGUCCAGAAUUAAAUUUCAGAAGCACAGCCAUGUAGUGUGAGCAUCCUAAGAACAUUUUAGCCUUGGGAUGCUCAUCAAUAAGUUGCUCCUUGUUUCAUAAAGGGGUUCUAGAAGUUGAUUCAGAGUUUAUCCCACUGUCAGUUCUAUGAGACAGGCAAAGUUCCUUGUUGCCCUAUAAUAACCCGCCUUAUAUAUCUAGGUCUGUCCUUGUUUUGUUUCUGGUGUGCCCCUUGAGCAUUGCAUUAGACACUACAAAAAUACUACUGUCUAUUUCAACUUCAAACUUUUAGAUGUUGAUUUUUCAUCGUGUGCCUCUUAUGGCUGACCUGCCCUAUGUCUAUCACACAUAUGCCCCUUAGAGCUUUUUUAUAAAGUGCAGGGAGGAGUUUGCUCAAUUCUAGCAGCUUGCAGUGAGGUAACCACUAAAUAAUGCCUUGUCGCCUGGAAGUUUCACAGCACAUUAAGGACACUGUGAAAAUACACUUGUUAUCAGUGGUGGAAGAGCAAUGGACUGUAUUUACCAGCCCAUUUAGUCGGAUCAGGUAGCCAGUAGUCUUGGCCUCAUUGGUUCCAUUUUCUUAGUUGACACCUGUUAGUGUAGGAUGAUGUCACCUGUAAGUGUUGUUGCAUAAAACAUAAAGUCUUGUGUUACACUAAAUAGUUAAUAAUUCAGUCAAUAAUGUAAUGUAAUAAAUAAAUAAUUCAAUUAAUUAAAAUUGUAUUGGUCCUUUAACAUAUUUCACGUUUCUGUGGAGUGUUUACCUGCGGUGCAUUUUGGCAUUAACAAUGUAAAGCAAGCAACUGUUUCACGAGGAUUUCAAGAAAAAAAUCUCUUUCAUGACAAGCGGCCAACGAGGUAUACACUUUAAUUUGUAACAAGCAGAAAUGUAUCAUUUAUGUCCAUUCUGUUAUUUUCAUACAGUUUCUAAUGUAUAUGUGUGUGUGUUUAACGUAUAGUUCUCACGGCGUAUGGCGGAAGGCCUGUGUGGAUAGUGUAAAUAAGGAAGCACAAUUGUGGAGAAGAAGCCUGAGAAUAAACGCCCGUUUCAAGAACGACCUGUGUCUGUCUGUUAUGAGAGAGCUACAUCACCAUUGUGGUUUAUUGAUUUCUGAAGGUGUGAUGGUAUAUGACUUAGUGCUGGAAAGUGUCUCUGGCUAUGCAGCUAAUACAUCACAUUUGAGCCAUAUCCGUUUUAUGUUUAACCUAGGAACAAAGCAAUCCUUGUUUGUUUGUUUGUGCAGGACCCUCAAACCUGUAAAUGUUCCUGCAAAUUCACACAAUUAGACUGAAAGUCCAGGCAACUUGAGUUAAACAAAAGAACUUGCAGGUUUGUUUGCCAUACAUUUCACAAUAAACAAUGUGCCUUAUUUUCCCCAUCUACCCAUAACUCUGGCUCCAUUAUAAAUGGAUUUCCUGCUGAGAAACGCAUGCUUCUCCCAGCUGUUUGAUGUUGUGUUGGUGUUUGUUGAUGGGAAUGUGGCGGCUCUGUGCUUCCCUGAGCUUGCAUUGUCUCUUGUCACAUCCACAUCAGAUAUUAUGGAAAAAUCCCUUUUUCAGCCUUUGUGCACAUAUAUAAGGGUAUCUGGGGUGCCUGCCGGCCCACAAAACGUGGAAAAAGAACACAAUGUCGUUAUUUUGUGGAUUGUCAAAACCCUACAGACGGGCUCUGAACGAGCCAUUCACAACCCUGGCAUCCUAUUACGUAACAUGAAGCCUCUUCUGGGGUAACCCCAACCCAAACUGUGAAUCUCCACCCAUGAACUCCAAGACACCAGAGUGCAUAUAUCCCAUUGUUUUCUCUCAGAAAGCAACAGAUGGACCGCUAGCAUUAUGCCGAAAAGAGUAAAUAACAUUUGCCCUGUUGUCGGCUGUACAAACCAAUAUAAAUCUGUACAUCGACUCUCAGCCUCAGAGGAGCAGGUGGAUUGACAUUAUUUGUGAUGGAAAUGUUCCAGCCACAGUCUGUAAAAACCUGCGAGUUUGUGCUAACCAAUUUGUGUUAGACUGUUUUUCAAACCGCUGUGCGCUGAAUUGUGCCUUAGUACAUUGCUGGAUGCCUGCAUGUGACUGUACACAUAUGCAGCUGCUUUCCCUGCAGUGUGGUGGAGUGGAACUGUUAUAAAGAUACAGCCUAUUACAGGAUCAUACAUCCUGAUACACCUGACCCAGUACUAAUCCUGUGGAUCAAUAUCCAGCCCUCUUGCAUCUUCUCAGGUGCUUCCUCUCUGCUCCAACGUUUGUCAGGGCUAAGACCCAGGUGCAGGGGUGUCGUGGCCUGAGUCUGUGUUGCAGUAUGUCUUGGUUUCAACCAGGAAUGGUUCUUGAUGGCUGAUUUGUAUCCUCUUAAUGAUAUCCUAUGAUAUGAUAUGAAACCCUCUAUUUUGCACACAGGUUCCAUUUGCAACAAUAACAUUUAUGUGGCGGCAAAAUUAAGUUGCCAUUGCACAUGUCAUGCUAUCUCUACAGAGAAGGGGUAUCUUGUGGCCUGUCAGUGGGUUUUUAGUGUGCUGCAAUGAUAAGUGCUUGUUUUCUUUUACUUCCUGUUGGGGCCCUUUUAUCUGUUACCAUGUUUACUUGUGUUUCAGAUGAUAGAUGGCCACAGCAGUGACAGUCCAGAAUUAAAUUUCAGAAGCACAGCCAUGUAGUGUGAGCAUCCUAAGAACAUUUUAGCCUUGGGAUGCUCAUCAAUAAGUUGCUCCUUGUUUCAUAAAGGGGUUCUAGAAGUUGAUUCAGAGUUUAUCCCACUGUCAGUUCUAUGAGACAGGCAAAGUUCCUUGUUGCCCUAUAAUAACCCGCCUUAUAUAUCUAGGUCUGUCCUUGUUUUGUUUCUGGUGUGCCCCUUGAGCAUUGCAUUAGACACUACAAAAAUACUACUGUCUAUUUCAACUUCAAACUUUUAGAUGUUGAUUUUUCAUCGUGUGCCUCUUAUGGCUGACCUGCCCUAUGUCUAUCACACAUAUGCCCCUUAGAGCUUUUUUAUAAAGUGCAGGGAGGAGUUUGCUCAAUUCUAGCAGCUUGCAGUGAGGUAACCACUAAAUAAUGCCUUGUCGCCUGGAAGUUUCACAGCACAUUAAGGACACUGUGAAAAUACACUUGUUAUCAGUGGUGGAAGAGCAAUGGACUGUAUUUACCAGCCCAUUUAGUCGGAUCAGGUAGCCAGUAGUCUUGGCCUCAUUGGUUCCAUUUUCUUAGUUGACACCUGUUAGUGUAGGAUGAUGUCACCUGUAAGUGUUGUUGCAUAAAACAUAAAGUCUUGUGUUACACUAAAUAGUUAAUAAUUCAGUCAAUAAUGUAAUGUAAUAAAUAAAUAAUUCAAUUAAUUAAAAUUGUAUUGGUCCUUUAACAUAUUUCACGUUUCUGUGGAGUGUUUACCUGCGGUGCAUUUUGGCAUUAACAAUGUAAAGCAAGCAACUGUUUCACGAGGAUUUCAAGAAAAAAAUCUCUUUCAUGACAAGCGGCCAACGAGGUAUACACUUUAAUUUGUAACAAGCAGAAAUGUAUCAUUUAUGUCCAUUCUGUUAUUUUCAUACAGUUUCUAAUGUAUAUGUGUGUGUGUUUAACGUAUAGUUCUCACGGCGUAUGGCGGAAGGCCUGUGUGGAUAGUGUAAAUAAGGAAGCACAAUUGUGGAGAAGAAGCCUGAGAAUAAACGCCCGUUUCAAGAACGACCUGUGUCUGUCUGUUAUGAGAGAGCUACAUCACCAUUGUGGUUUAUUGAUUUCUGAAGGUGUGAUGGUAUAUGACUUAGUGCUGGAAAGUGUCUCUGGCUAUGCAGCUAAUACAUCACAUUUGAGCCAUAUCCGUUUUAUGUUUAACCUAGGAACAAAGCAAUCCUUGUUUGUUUGUUUGUGCAGGACCCUCAAACCUGUAAAUGUUCCUGCAAAUUCACACAAUUAGACUGAAAGUCCAGGCAACUUGAGUUAAACAAAAGAACUUGCAGGUUUGUUUGCCAUACAUUUCACAAUAAACAAUGUGCCUUAUUUUCCCCAUCUACCCAUAACUCUGGCUCCAUUAUAAAUGGAUUUCCUGCUGAGAAACGCAUGCUUCUCCCAGCUGUUUGAUGUUGUGUUGGUGUUUGUUGAUGGGAAUGUGGCGGCUCUGUGCUUCCCUGAGCUUGCAUUGUCUCUUGUCACAUCCACAUCAGAUAUUAUGGAAAAAUCCCUUUUUCAGCCUUUGUGCACAUAUAUAAGGGUAUCUGGGGUGCCUGCCGGCCCACAAAACGUGGAAAAAGAACACAAUGUCGUUAUUUUGUGGAUUGUCAAAACCCUACAGACGGGCUCUGAACGAGCCAUUCACAACCCUGGCAUCCUAUUACGUAACAUGAAGCCUCUUCUGGGGUAACCCCAACCCAAACUGUGAAUCUCCACCCAUGAACUCCAAGACACCAGAGUGCAUAUAUCCCAUUGUUUUCUCUCAGAAAGCAACAGAUGGACCGCUAGCAUUAUGCCGAAAAGAGUAAAUAACAUUUGCCCUGUUGUCGGCUGUACAAACCAAUAUAAAUCUGUACAUCGACUCUCAGCCUCAGAGGAGCAGGUGGAUUGACAUUAUUUGUGAUGGAAAUGUUCCAGCCACAGUCUGUAAAAACCUGCGAGUUUGUGCUAACCAAUUUGUGUUAGACUGUUUUUCAAACCGCUGUGCGCUGAAUUGUGCCUUAGUACAUUGCUGGAUGCCUGCAUGUGACUGUACACAUAUGCAGCUGCUUUCCCUGCAGUGUGGUGGAGUGGAACUGUUAUAAAGAUACAGCCUAUUACAGGAUCAUACAUCCUGAUACACCUGACCCAGUACUAAUCCUGUGGAUCAAUAUCCAGCCCUCUUGCAUCUUCUCAGGUGCUUCCUCUCUGCUCCAACGUUUGUCAGGGCUAAGACCCAGGUGCAGGGGUGUCGUGGCCUGAGUCUGUGUUGCAGUAUGUCUUGGUUUCAACCAGGAAUGGUUCUUGAUGGCUGAUUUGUAUCCUCUUAAUGAUAUCCUAUGAUAUGAUAUGAAACCCUCUAUUUUGCACACAGGUUCCAUUUGCAACAAUAACAUUUAUGUGGCGGCAAAAUUAAGUUGCCAUUGCACAUGUCAUGCUAUCUCUACAGAGAAGGGGUAUCUUGUGGCCUGUCAGUGGGUUUUUAGUGUGCUGCAAUGAUAAGUGCUUGUUUUCUUUUACUUCCUGUUGGGGCCCUUUUAUCUGUUACCAUGUUUACUUGUGUUUCAGAUGAUAGAUGGCCACAGCAGUGACAGUCCAGAAUUAAAUUUCAGAAGCACAGCCAUGUAGUGUGAGCAUCCUAAGAACAUUUUAGCCUUGGGAUGCUCAUCAAUAAGUUGCUCCUUGUUUCAUAAAGGGGUUCUAGAAGUUGAUUCAGAGUUUAUCCCACUGUCAGUUCUAUGAGACAGGCAAAGUUCCUUGUUGCCCUAUAAUAACCCGCCUUAUAUAUCUAGGUCUGUCCUUGUUUUGUUUCUGGUGUGCCCCUUGAGCAUUGCAUUAGACACUACAAAAAUACUACUGUCUAUUUCAACUUCAAACUUUUAGAUGUUGAUUUUUCAUCGUGUGCCUCUUAUGGCUGACCUGCCCUAUGUCUAUCACACAUAUGCCCCUUAGAGCUUUUUUAUAAAGUGCAGGGAGGAGUUUGCUCAAUUCUAGCAGCUUGCAGUGAGGUAACCACUAAAUAAUGCCUUGUCGCCUGGAAGUUUCACAGCACAUUAAGGACACUGUGAAAAUACACUUGUUAUCAGUGGUGGAAGAGCAAUGGACUGUAUUUACCAGCCCAUUUAGUCGGAUCAGGUAGCCAGUAGUCUUGGCCUCAUUGGUUCCAUUUUCUUAGUUGACACCUGUUAGUGUAGGAUGAUGUCACCUGUAAGUGUUGUUGCAUAAAACAUAAAGUCUUGUGUUACACUAAAUAGUUAAUAAUUCAGUCAAUAAUGUAAUGUAAUAAAUAAAUAAUUCAAUUAAUUAAAAUUGUAUUGGUCCUUUAACAUAUUUCACGUUUCUGUGGAGUGUUUACCUGCGGUGCAUUUUGGCAUUAACAAUGUAAAGCAAGCAACUGUUUCACGAGGAUUUCAAGAAAAAAAUCUCUUUCAUGACAAGCGGCCAACGAGGUAUACACUUUAAUUUGUAACAAGCAGAAAUGUAUCAUUUAUGUCCAUUCUGUUAUUUUCAUACAGUUUCUAAUGUAUAUGUGUGUGUGUUUAACGUAUAGUUCUCACGGCGUAUGGCGGAAGGCCUGUGUGGAUAGUGUAAAUAAGGAAGCACAAUUGUGGAGAAGAAGCCUGAGAAUAAACGCCCGUUUCAAGAACGACCUGUGUCUGUCUGUUAUGAGAGAGCUACAUCACCAUUGUGGUUUAUUGAUUUCUGAAGGUGUGAUGGUAUAUGACUUAGUGCUGGAAAGUGUCUCUGGCUAUGCAGCUAAUACAUCACAUUUGAGCCAUAUCCGUUUUAUGUUUAACCUAGGAACAAAGCAAUCCUUGUUUGUUUGUUUGUGCAGGACCCUCAAACCUGUAAAUGUUCCUGCAAAUUCACACAAUUAGACUGAAAGUCCAGGCAACUUGAGUUAAACAAAAGAACUUGCAGGUUUGUUUGCCAUACAUUUCACAAUAAACAAUGUGCCUUAUUUUCCCCAUCUACCCAUAACUCUGGCUCCAUUAUAAAUGGAUUUCCUGCUGAGAAACGCAUGCUUCUCCCAGCUGUUUGAUGUUGUGUUGGUGUUUGUUGAUGGGAAUGUGGCGGCUCUGUGCUUCCCUGAGCUUGCAUUGUCUCUUGUCACAUCCACAUCAGAUAUUAUGGAAAAAUCCCUUUUUCAGCCUUUGUGCACAUAUAUAAGGGUAUCUGGGGUGCCUGCCGGCCCACAAAACGUGGAAAAAGAACACAAUGUCGUUAUUUUGUGGAUUGUCAAAACCCUACAGACGGGCUCUGAACGAGCCAUUCACAACCCUGGCAUCCUAUUACGUAACAUGAAGCCUCUUCUGGGGUAACCCCAACCCAAACUGUGAAUCUCCACCCAUGAACUCCAAGACACCAGAGUGCAUAUAUCCCAUUGUUUUCUCUCAGAAAGCAACAGAUGGACCGCUAGCAUUAUGCCGAAAAGAGUAAAUAACAUUUGCCCUGUUGUCGGCUGUACAAACCAAUAUAAAUCUGUACAUCGACUCUCAGCCUCAGAGGAGCAGGUGGAUUGACAUUAUUUGUGAUGGAAAUGUUCCAGCCACAGUCUGUAAAAACCUGCGAGUUUGUGCUAACCAAUUUGUGUUAGACUGUUUUUCAAACCGCUGUGCGCUGAAUUGUGCCUUAGUACAUUGCUGGAUGCCUGCAUGUGACUGUACACAUAUGCAGCUGCUUUCCCUGCAGUGUGGUGGAGUGGAACUGUUAUAAAGAUACAGCCUAUUACAGGAUCAUACAUCCUGAUACACCUGACCCAGUACUAAUCCUGUGGAUCAAUAUCCAGCCCUCUUGCAUCUUCUCAGGUGCUUCCUCUCUGCUCCAACGUUUGUCAGGGCUAAGACCCAGGUGCAGGGGUGUCGUGGCCUGAGUCUGUGUUGCAGUAUGUCUUGGUUUCAACCAGGAAUGGUUCUUGAUGGCUGAUUUGUAUCCUCUUAAUGAUAUCCUAUGAUAUGAUAUGAAACCCUCUAUUUUGCACACAGGUUCCAUUUGCAACAAUAACAUUUAUGUGGCGGCAAAAUUAAGUUGCCAUUGCACAUGUCAUGCUAUCUCUACAGAGAAGGGGUAUCUUGUGGCCUGUCAGUGGGUUUUUAGUGUGCUGCAAUGAUAAGUGCUUGUUUUCUUUUACUUCCUGUUGGGGCCCUUUUAUCUGUUACCAUGUUUACUUGUGUUUCAGAUGAUAGAUGGCCACAGCAGUGACAGUCCAGAAUUAAAUUUCAGAAGCACAGCCAUGUAGUGUGAGCAUCCUAAGAACAUUUUAGCCUUGGGAUGCUCAUCAAUAAGUUGCUCCUUGUUUCAUAAAGGGGUUCUAGAAGUUGAUUCAGAGUUUAUCCCACUGUCAGUUCUAUGAGACAGGCAAAGUUCCUUGUUGCCCUAUAAUAACCCGCCUUAUAUAUCUAGGUCUGUCCUUGUUUUGUUUCUGGUGUGCCCCUUGAGCAUUGCAUUAGACACUACAAAAAUACUACUGUCUAUUUCAACUUCAAACUUUUAGAUGUUGAUUUUUCAUCGUGUGCCUCUUAUGGCUGACCUGCCCUAUGUCUAUCACACAUAUGCCCCUUAGAGCUUUUUUAUAAAGUGCAGGGAGGAGUUUGCUCAAUUCUAGCAGCUUGCAGUGAGGUAACCACUAAAUAAUGCCUUGUCGCCUGGAAGUUUCACAGCACAUUAAGGACACUGUGAAAAUACACUUGUUAUCAGUGGUGGAAGAGCAAUGGACUGUAUUUACCAGCCCAUUUAGUCGGAUCAGGUAGCCAGUAGUCUUGGCCUCAUUGGUUCCAUUUUCUUAGUUGACACCUGUUAGUGUAGGAUGAUGUCACCUGUAAGUGUUGUUGCAUAAAACAUAAAGUCUUGUGUUACACUAAAUAGUUAAUAAUUCAGUCAAUAAUGUAAUGUAAUAAAUAAAUAAUUCAAUUAAUUAAAAUUGUAUUGGUCCUUUAACAUAUUUCACGUUUCUGUGGAGUGUUUACCUGCGGUGCAUUUUGGCAUUAACAAUGUAAAGCAAGCAACUGUUUCACGAGGAUUUCAAGAAAAAAAUCUCUUUCAUGACAAGCGGCCAACGAGGUAUACACUUUAAUUUGUAACAAGCAGAAAUGUAUCAUUUAUGUCCAUUCUGUUAUUUUCAUACAGUUUCUAAUGUAUAUGUGUGUGUGUUUAACGUAUAGUUCUCACGGCGUAUGGCGGAAGGCCUGUGUGGAUAGUGUAAAUAAGGAAGCACAAUUGUGGAGAAGAAGCCUGAGAAUAAACGCCCGUUUCAAGAACGACCUGUGUCUGUCUGUUAUGAGAGAGCUACAUCACCAUUGUGGUUUAUUGAUUUCUGAAGGUGUGAUGGUAUAUGACUUAGUGCUGGAAAGUGUCUCUGGCUAUGCAGCUAAUACAUCACAUUUGAGCCAUAUCCGUUUUAUGUUUAACCUAGGAACAAAGCAAUCCUUGUUUGUUUGUUUGUGCAGGACCCUCAAACCUGUAAAUGUUCCUGCAAAUUCACACAAUUAGACUGAAAGUCCAGGCAACUUGAGUUAAACAAAAGAACUUGCAGGUUUGUUUGCCAUACAUUUCACAAUAAACAAUGUGCCUUAUUUUCCCCAUCUACCCAUAACUCUGGCUCCAUUAUAAAUGGAUUUCCUGCUGAGAAACGCAUGCUUCUCCCAGCUGUUUGAUGUUGUGUUGGUGUUUGUUGAUGGGAAUGUGGCGGCUCUGUGCUUCCCUGAGCUUGCAUUGUCUCUUGUCACAUCCACAUCAGAUAUUAUGGAAAAAUCCCUUUUUCAGCCUUUGUGCACAUAUAUAAGGGUAUCUGGGGUGCCUGCCGGCCCACAAAACGUGGAAAAAGAACACAAUGUCGUUAUUUUGUGGAUUGUCAAAACCCUACAGACGGGCUCUGAACGAGCCAUUCACAACCCUGGCAUCCUAUUACGUAACAUGAAGCCUCUUCUGGGGUAACCCCAACCCAAACUGUGAAUCUCCACCCAUGAACUCCAAGACACCAGAGUGCAUAUAUCCCAUUGUUUUCUCUCAGAAAGCAACAGAUGGACCGCUAGCAUUAUGCCGAAAAGAGUAAAUAACAUUUGCCCUGUUGUCGGCUGUACAAACCAAUAUAAAUCUGUACAUCGACUCUCAGCCUCAGAGGAGCAGGUGGAUUGACAUUAUUUGUGAUGGAAAUGUUCCAGCCACAGUCUGUAAAAACCUGCGAGUUUGUGCUAACCAAUUUGUGUUAGACUGUUUUUCAAACCGCUGUGCGCUGAAUUGUGCCUUAGUACAUUGCUGGAUGCCUGCAUGUGACUGUACACAUAUGCAGCUGCUUUCCCUGCAGUGUGGUGGAGUGGAACUGUUAUAAAGAUACAGCCUAUUACAGGAUCAUACAUCCUGAUACACCUGACCCAGUACUAAUCCUGUGGAUCAAUAUCCAGCCCUCUUGCAUCUUCUCAGGUGCUUCCUCUCUGCUCCAACGUUUGUCAGGGCUAAGACCCAGGUGCAGGGGUGUCGUGGCCUGAGUCUGUGUUGCAGUAUGUCUUGGUUUCAACCAGGAAUGGUUCUUGAUGGCUGAUUUGUAUCCUCUUAAUGAUAUCCUAUGAUAUGAUAUGAAACCCUCUAUUUUGCACACAGGUUCCAUUUGCAACAAUAACAUUUAUGUGGCGGCAAAAUUAAGUUGCCAUUGCACAUGUCAUGCUAUCUCUACAGAGAAGGGGUAUCUUGUGGCCUGUCAGUGGGUUUUUAGUGUGCUGCAAUGAUAAGUGCUUGUUUUCUUUUACUUCCUGUUGGGGCCCUUUUAUCUGUUACCAUGUUUACUUGUGUUUCAGAUGAUAGAUGGCCACAGCAGUGACAGUCCAGAAUUAAAUUUCAGAAGCACAGCCAUGUAGUGUGAGCAUCCUAAGAACAUUUUAGCCUUGGGAUGCUCAUCAAUAAGUUGCUCCUUGUUUCAUAAAGGGGUUCUAGAAGUUGAUUCAGAGUUUAUCCCACUGUCAGUUCUAUGAGACAGGCAAAGUUCCUUGUUGCCCUAUAAUAACCCGCCUUAUAUAUCUAGGUCUGUCCUUGUUUUGUUUCUGGUGUGCCCCUUGAGCAUUGCAUUAGACACUACAAAAAUACUACUGUCUAUUUCAACUUCAAACUUUUAGAUGUUGAUUUUUCAUCGUGUGCCUCUUAUGGCUGACCUGCCCUAUGUCUAUCACACAUAUGCCCCUUAGAGCUUUUUUAUAAAGUGCAGGGAGGAGUUUGCUCAAUUCUAGCAGCUUGCAGUGAGGUAACCACUAAAUAAUGCCUUGUCGCCUGGAAGUUUCACAGCACAUUAAGGACACUGUGAAAAUACACUUGUUAUCAGUGGUGGAAGAGCAAUGGACUGUAUUUACCAGCCCAUUUAGUCGGAUCAGGUAGCCAGUAGUCUUGGCCUCAUUGGUUCCAUUUUCUUAGUUGACACCUGUUAGUGUAGGAUGAUGUCACCUGUAAGUGUUGUUGCAUAAAACAUAAAGUCUUGUGUUACACUAAAUAGUUAAUAAUUCAGUCAAUAAUGUAAUGUAAUAAAUAAAUAAUUCAAUUAAUUAAAAUUGUAUUGGUCCUUUAACAUAUUUCACGUUUCUGUGGAGUGUUUACCUGCGGUGCAUUUUGGCAUUAACAAUGUAAAGCAAGCAACUGUUUCACGAGGAUUUCAAGAAAAAAAUCUCUUUCAUGACAAGCGGCCAACGAGGUAUACACUUUAAUUUGUAACAAGCAGAAAUGUAUCAUUUAUGUCCAUUCUGUUAUUUUCAUACAGUUUCUAAUGUAUAUGUGUGUGUGUUUAACGUAUAGUUCUCACGGCGUAUGGCGGAAGGCCUGUGUGGAUAGUGUAAAUAAGGAAGCACAAUUGUGGAGAAGAAGCCUGAGAAUAAACGCCCGUUUCAAGAACGACCUGUGUCUGUCUGUUAUGAGAGAGCUACAUCACCAUUGUGGUUUAUUGAUUUCUGAAGGUGUGAUGGUAUAUGACUUAGUGCUGGAAAGUGUCUCUGGCUAUGCAGCUAAUACAUCACAUUUGAGCCAUAUCCGUUUUAUGUUUAACCUAGGAACAAAGCAAUCCUUGUUUGUUUGUUUGUGCAGGACCCUCAAACCUGUAAAUGUUCCUGCAAAUUCACACAAUUAGACUGAAAGUCCAGGCAACUUGAGUUAAACAAAAGAACUUGCAGGUUUGUUUGCCAUACAUUUCACAAUAAACAAUGUGCCUUAUUUUCCCCAUCUACCCAUAACUCUGGCUCCAUUAUAAAUGGAUUUCCUGCUGAGAAACGCAUGCUUCUCCCAGCUGUUUGAUGUUGUGUUGGUGUUUGUUGAUGGGAAUGUGGCGGCUCUGUGCUUCCCUGAGCUUGCAUUGUCUCUUGUCACAUCCACAUCAGAUAUUAUGGAAAAAUCCCUUUUUCAGCCUUUGUGCACAUAUAUAAGGGUAUCUGGGGUGCCUGCCGGCCCACAAAACGUGGAAAAAGAACACAAUGUCGUUAUUUUGUGGAUUGUCAAAACCCUACAGACGGGCUCUGAACGAGCCAUUCACAACCCUGGCAUCCUAUUACGUAACAUGAAGCCUCUUCUGGGGUAACCCCAACCCAAACUGUGAAUCUCCACCCAUGAACUCCAAGACACCAGAGUGCAUACAUCCCAUUGUUUUCUCUCAGAAAGCAACAGAUGGACCGCUAGCAUUAUGCCGAAAAGAGUAAAUAACAUUUGCCCUGUUGUCGGCUGUACAAACCAAUAUAAAUCUGUACAUCGACUCUCAGCCUCAGAGGAGCAGGUGGAUUGACAUUAUUUGUGAUGGAAAUGUUCCAGCCACAGUCUGUAAAAACCUGCGAGUUUGUGCUAACCAAUUUGUGUUAGACUGUUUUUCAAACCGCUGUGCGCUGAAUUGUGCCUUAGUACAUUGCUGGAUGCCUGCAUGUGACUGUACACAUAUGCAGCUGCUUUCCCUGCAGUGUGGUGGAGUGGAACUGUUAUAAAGAUACAGCCUAUUACAGGAUCAUACAUCCUGAUACACCUGACCCAGUACUAAUCCUGUGGAUCAAUAUCCAGCCCUCUUGCAUCUUCUCAGGUGCUUCCUCUCUGCUCCAACGUUUGUCAGGGCUAAGACCCAGGUGCAGGGGUGUCGUGGCCUGAGUCUGUGUUGCAGUAUGUCUUGGUUUCAACCAGGAAUGGUUCUUGAUGGCUGAUUUGUAUCCUCUUAAUGAUAUCCUAUGAUAUGAUAUGAAACCCUCUAUUUUGCACACAGGUUCCAUUUGCAACAAUAACAUUUAUGUGGCGGCAAAAUUAAGUUGCCAUUGCACAUGUCAUGCUAUCUCUACAGAGAAGGGGUAUCUUGUGGCCUGUCAGUGGGUUUUUAGUGUGCUGCAAUGAUAAGUGCUUGUUUUCUUUUACUUCCUGUUGGGGCCCUUUUAUCUGUUACCAUGUUUACUUGUGUUUCAGAUGAUAGAUGGCCACAGCAGUGACAGUCCAGAAUUAAAUUUCAGAAGCACAGCCAUGUAGUGUGAGCAUCCUAAGAACAUUUUAGCCUUGGGAUGCUCAUCAAUAAGUUGCUCCUUGUUUCAUAAAGGGGUUCUAGAAGUUGAUUCAGAGUUUAUCCCACUGUCAGUUCUAUGAGACAGGCAAAGUUCCUUGUUGCCCUAUAAUAACCCGCCUUAUAUAUCUAGGUCUGUCCUUGUUUUGUUUCUGGUGUGCCCCUUGAGCAUUGCAUUAGACACUACAAAAAUACUACUGUCUAUUUCAACUUCAAACUUUUAGAUGUUGAUUUUUCAUCGUGUGCCUCUUAUGGCUGACCUGCCCUAUGUCUAUCACACAUAUGCCCCUUAGAGCUUUUUUAUAAAGUGCAGGGAGGAGUUUGCUCAAUUCUAGCAGCUUGCAGUGAGGUAACCACUAAAUAAUGCCUUGUCGCCUGGAAGUUUCACAGCACAUUAAGGACACUGUGAAAAUACACUUGUUAUCAGUGGUGGAAGAGCAAUGGACUGUAUUUACCAGCCCAUUUAGUCGGAUCAGGUAGCCAGUAGUCUUGGCCUCAUUGGUUCCAUUUUCUUAGUUGACACCUGUUAGUGUAGGAUGAUGUCACCUGUAAGUGUUGUUGCAUAAAACAUAAAGUCUUGUGUUACACUAAAUAGUUAAUAAUUCAGUCAAUAAUGUAAUGUAAUAAAUAAAUAAUUCAAUUAAUUAAAAUUGUAUUGGUCCUUUAACAUAUUUCACGUUUCUGUGGAGUGUUUACCUGCGGUGCAUUUUGGCAUUAACAAUGUAAAGCAAGCAACUGUUUCACGAGGAUUUCAAGAAAAAAAUCUCUUUCAUGACAAGCGGCCAACGAGGUAUACACUUUAAUUUGUAACAAGCAGAAAUGUAUCAUUUAUGUCCAUUCUGUUAUUUUCAUACAGUUUCUAAUGUAUAUGUGUGUGUGUUUAACGUAUAGUUCUCACGGCGUAUGGCGGAAGGCCUGUGUGGAUAGUGUAAAUAAGGAAGCACAAUUGUGGAGAAGAAGCCUGAGAAUAAACGCCCGUUUCAAGAACGACCUGUGUCUGUCUGUUAUGAGAGAGCUACAUCACCAUUGUGGUUUAUUGAUUUCUGAAGGUGUGAUGGUAUAUGACUUAGUGCUGGAAAGUGUCUCUGGCUAUGCAGCUAAUACAUCACAUUUGAGCCAUAUCCGUUUUAUGUUUAACCUAGGAACAAAGCAAUCCUUGUUUGUUUGUUUGUGCAGGACCCUCAAACCUGUAAAUGUUCCUGCAAAUUCACACAAUUAGACUGAAAGUCCAGGCAACUUGAGUUAAACAAAAGAACUUGCAGGUUUGUUUGCCAUACAUUUCACAAUAAACAAUGUGCCUUAUUUUCCCCAUCUACCCAUAACUCUGGCUCCAUUAUAAAUGGAUUUCCUGCUGAGAAACGCAUGCUUCUCCCAGCUGUUUGAUGUUGUGUUGGUGUUUGUUGAUGGGAAUGUGGCGGCUCUGUGCUUCCCUGAGCUUGCAUUGUCUCUUGUCACAUCCACAUCAGAUAUUAUGGAAAAAUCCCUUUUUCAGCCUUUGUGCACAUAUAUAAGGGUAUCUGGGGUGCCUGCCGGCCCACAAAACGUGGAAAAAGAACACAAUGUCGUUAUUUUGUGGAUUGUCAAAACCCUACAGACGGGCUCUGAACGAGCCAUUCACAACCCUGGCAUCCUAUUACGUAACAUGAAGCCUCUUCUGGGGUAACCCCAACCCAAACUGUGAAUCUCCACCCAUGAACUCCAAGACACCAGAGUGCAUACAUCCCAUUGUUUUCUCUCAGAAAGCAACAGAUGGACCGCUAGCAUUAUGCCGAAAAGAGUAAAUAACAUUUGCCCUGUUGUCGGCUGUACAAACCAAUAUAAAUCUGUACAUCGACUCUCAGCCUCAGAGGAGCAGGUGGAUUGACAUUAUUUGUGAUGGAAAUGUUCCAGCCACAGUCUGUAAAAACCUGCGAGUUUGUGCUAACCAAUUUGUGUUAGACUGUUUUUCAAACCGCUGUGCGCUGAAUUGUGCCUUAGUACAUUGCUGGAUGCCUGCAUGUGACUGUACACAUAUGCAGCUGCUUUCCCUGCAGUGUGGUGGAGUGGAACUGUUAUAAAGAUACAGCCUAUUACAGGAUCAUACAUCCUGAUACACCUGACCCAGUACUAAUCCUGUGGAUCAAUAUCCAGCCCUCUUGCAUCUUCUCAGGUGCUUCCUCUCUGCUCCAACGUUUGUCAGGGCUAAGACCCAGGUGCAGGGGUGUCGUGGCCUGAGUCUGUGUUGCAGUAUGUCUUGGUUUCAACCAGGAAUGGUUCUUGAUGGCUGAUUUGUAUCCUCUUAAUGAUAUCCUAUGAUAUGAUAUGAAACCCUCUAUUUUGCACACAGGUUCCAUUUGCAACAAUAACAUUUAUGUGGCGGCAAAAUUAAGUUGCCAUUGCACAUGUCAUGCUAUCUCUACAGAGAAGGGGUAUCUUGUGGCCUGUCAGUGGGUUUUUAGUGUGCUGCAAUGAUAAGUGCUUGUUUUCUUUUACUUCCUGUUGGGGCCCUUUUAUCUGUUACCAUGUUUACUUGUGUUUCAGAUGAUAGAUGGCCACAGCAGUGACAGUCCAGAAUUAAAUUUCAGAAGCACAGCCAUGUAGUGUGAGCAUCCUAAGAACAUUUUAGCCUUGGGAUGCUCAUCAAUAAGUUGCUCCUUGUUUCAUAAAGGGGUUCUAGAAGUUGAUUCAGAGUUUAUCCCACUGUCAGUUCUAUGAGACAGGCAAAGUUCCUUGUUGCCCUAUAAUAACCCGCCUUAUAUAUCUAGGUCUGUCCUUGUUUUGUUUCUGGUGUGCCCCUUGAGCAUUGCAUUAGACACUACAAAAAUACUACUGUCUAUUUCAACUUCAAACUUUUAGAUGUUGAUUUUUCAUCGUGUGCCUCUUAUGGCUGACCUGCCCUAUGUCUAUCACACAUAUGCCCCUUAGAGCUUUUUUAUAAAGUGCAGGGAGGAGUUUGCUCAAUUCUAGCAGCUUGCAGUGAGGUAACCACUAAAUAAUGCCUUGUCGCCUGGAAGUUUCACAGCACAUUAAGGACACUGUGAAAAUACACUUGUUAUCAGUGGUGGAAGAGCAAUGGACUGUAUUUACCAGCCCAUUUAGUCGGAUCAGGUAGCCAGUAGUCUUGGCCUCAUUGGUUCCAUUUUCUUAGUUGACACCUGUUAGUGUAGGAUGAUGUCACCUGUAAGUGUUGUUGCAUAAAACAUAAAGUCUUGUGUUACACUAAAUAGUUAAUAAUUCAGUCAAUAAUGUAAUGUAAUAAAUAAAUAAUUCAAUUAAUUAAAAUUGUAUUGGUCCUUUAACAUAUUUCACGUUUCUGUGGAGUGUUUACCUGCGGUGCAUUUUGGCAUUAACCAUGUAAAGCAAGCAACUGUUUCACGAGGAUUUCAAGAAAAAAAUCUCUUUCAUGACAAGCGGCCAACGAGGUAUACACUUUAAUUUGUAACAAGCAGAAAUGUAUCAUUUAUGUCCAUUCUGUUAUUUUCAUACAGUUUCUAAUGUAUAUGUGUGUGUGUUUAACGUAUAGUUCUCACGGCGUAUGGCGGAAGGCCUGUGUGGAUAGUGUAAAUAAGGAAGCACAAUUGUGGAGAAGAAGCCUGAGAAUAAACGCCCGUUUCAAGAACGACCUGUGUCUGUCUGUUAUGAGAGAGCUACAUCACCAUUGUGGUUUAUUGAUUUCUGAAGGUGUGAUGGUAUAUGACUUAGUGCUGGAAAGUGUCUCUGGCUAUGCAGCUAAUACAUCACAUUUGAGCCAUAUCCGUUUUAUGUUUAACCUAGGAACAAAGCAAUCCUUGUUUGUUUGUUUGUGCAGGACCCUCAAACCUGUAAAUGUUCCUGCAAAUUCACACAAUUAGACUGAAAGUCCAGGCAACUUGAGUUAAACAAAAGAACUUGCAGGUUUGUUUGCCAUACAUUUCACAAUAAACAAUGUGCCUUAUUUUCCCCAUCUACCCAUAACUCUGGCUCCAUUAUAAAUGGAUUUCCUGCUGAGAAACGCAUGCUUCUCCCAGCUGUUUGAUGUUGUGUUGGUGUUUGUUGAUGGGAAUGUGGCGGCUCUGUGCUUCCCUGAGCUUGCAUUGUCUCUUGUCACAUCCACAUCAGAUAUUAUGGAAAAAUCCCUUUUUCAGCCUUUGUGCACAUAUAUAAGGGUAUCUGGGGUGCCUGCCGGCCCACAAAACGUGGAAAAAGAACACAAUGUCGUUAUUUUGUGGAUUGUCAAAACCCUACAGACGGGCUCUGAACGAGCCAUUCACAACCCUGGCAUCCUAUUACGUAACAUGAAGCCUCUUCUGGGGUAACCCCAACCCAAACUGUGAAUCUCCACCCAUGAACUCCAAGACACCAGAGUGCAUAUAUCCCAUUGUUUUCUCUCAGAAAGCAACAGAUGGACCGCUAGCAUUAUGCCGAAAAGAGUAAAUAACAUUUGCCCUGUUGUCGGCUGUACAAACCAAUAUAAAUCUGUACAUCGACUCUCAGCCUCAGAGGAGCAGGUGGAUUGACAUUAUUUGUGAUGGAAAUGUUCCAGCCACAGUCUGUAAAAACCUGCGAGUUUGUGCUAACCAAUUUGUGUUAGACUGUUUUUCAAACCUGGGCCAGUACAACGCCGGACUGGCAGAAAAACCAGAGAUGGAGCAAUUCCAACUCUCCGUGGCGAAGCAACAGAGAAAAGAAAUGGUACAUCACACCAAUCAGCUAUACCCCGGUUCCACAGUUUAUAGAACCAUGUCUAUUGGGGUGCAACCUCUUCAACCUCAGGGCCUGAGAAGGUGGCCAAGUGGACUUCACUUUUUAACCAGGUUCAAAAUAUCCAUAGUUUACAGAGUCGUGUUCCCCAAGACAAAGAAGGGUGAAUCCACCACAAAGCCUGUUAAAACAGAACCCACAUUGAAUUUUGUGGGUGACUUGAUGAGGAUGGUGUUUGAGGACCCAGCCCCAUUUGUGGAGGAGAUGAAAAAAAUCCCAAUCCCCAAGCAUCUGUCAAAGGGGGAAGUGGUUGCACCUGGAUGUGAAAACGAUGAGGCAUUAUUGCAGUUGCAAAUUGCCUCUCUACAAAUAUAUUUUUGUAUAUGUGUAUAUUUCUGGUUUCCUUACAUUUGCAAAAAAUAAAGUUAUUUUGAAGAAAAUAAUUGUUUCUCAUUUCUUCAUUUGUUGUGUGGAUCCUAUUAUGCAGUUGUAUCUCAUUACAUAAAUUCAUUUGAACCUUACU